UUGCGUAAUCUUGCAACAAGUCUAAAGCAAAUUCUUUUGCUUAUAGGGAAGUUGGUGGAAUUCCAACACUGCCCUCGCAACGGUAACACCGUAUUAUUAAUCUUAGCUAAACGCCAAAUCACUGCAUCUGAAUGAUGUGGGAAGAUGAUUAAUAGCAUCAUUCUUGUGAUGAUAUAGUGAAGUCCGGAGACCUGCUUGUUGUUUAUUUCCACAU
rnacentral:ncRNA from 24 species